rnacentral:rRNA from 1 species
UGGGGAAUAUUGCACAAUGGGCGAAAGCCUGAUGCAGCAACGCCGCGUGAGUGAUGAAGGUCUUCGGAUUGUAAAGCUCUGUCUUUUGGGACGAUAAUGACGGUACCAAAGGAGGAAGCCACGGCUAACUACGUGCCAGCAGCCGCGGUAAUACGUAGGUGGCGAGCGUUGUCCGGAUUUACUGGGCGUAAAGGGUGCGUAGGCGGAUGUUUAAGUGAGAUGUGAAAUACCCGGGCUUAACUUGGGUGCUGCAUUUCAAACUGGAUAUCUAGAGUGCAGGAGAGGAGAAUGGAAUUCCUAGUGUAGCGGUGAAAUGCGUAGAGAUUAGGAAGAACACCAGUGGCGAAGGCGAUUCUCUGGACUGUAACUGACGCUGAGGCACGAAAGCGUGGGUAGCAAACAGAAUUAGAUACCCUGGUAGUCCACGCCGUAAACGAUGAGUACUAGGUGUAGGAGGUAUCGACCCCUUCUGUGCCGCAGUAAACACAUUAAGUACUCCGCCUGGGAAGUACGAUCGCAAGAUUAAA